rnacentral:rRNA from 1 species
GUCGAGUCGGCCUGCGCGGAAGAUGUAACGGGGCUAAGUAGUAAACCGAAGCUGCGGCAAUAUACUUUUGUAUAUUGGGUAGGGGAGCGUUCUGUAAGCGGUUGAAGGUGUGUGGUAACGCAUGCUGGACGUAUCAGAAGUGCGAAUGCUGACAUGAGUAACGAUAAAGGGGGUGAAAAACCUCCUCGCCGGAAGACCAAGGGUUCCUGUCCAACGUUAAUCGGGGCAGGGUAAGUCGACCCCUAAGGCGAGGCCGAAAGGCGUAGUCGAUGGGAAACGGGUUAAUAUUCCCGUACUUCUUACAAUUGCGAUGGGGGGACGGAGAAGGCUAGGUGGGCCUGGCGACGGUUGUCCAGGUUCAAGUGCGUAGGCUUAAGAGUUAGGUAAAUCCGGCUCUUUCUAAGGCUGAGACACGACGUCGAGCACCUACGGGUGUGAAGUCAUUGAUGCCAUGCUUCCAGGAAAAGCCUCUAAGCUUCAGAUUGUAAGGAAUCGUACCCCAAACCGACACAGGUGGUCGGGUAGAGAAUACCAAGGCGCUUGA